rnacentral:lncRNA from 1 species
GAAGGUUUGGUCCAUUAAAGAAGACAUAAUUUUUUUUUAACAUAAAGAAGACAUUGUGCUUCGCUGUACCUACGGACCAUUACGGACCCACGGUACGUCUCCUUCAUUGUGCUUUGUAUUUUGUGUUAUUUUAAAUAAAUCUUUUAUUUUUGUUUUUAGGUUUUGAUUUUCCUUAAAUCAAUUAUCACCUUAAGUAUUCUAAUUUGUUUGCAUUAUGAGCCGGUGAUUAGCCAUAAGCAGAGGGGAUGAACCUCAUUAAGAGUUUUAGUCUUCCUCUAUCUUCCAAGCUAGGAAAUAACUAAUUAUAGCUUUCACGGAUUAUUACGCAUUGAUUUUUUUUUUUGGUGGGAGAGAGGAGACCUAAGUCUCCAUUAUAUAAAAAAAACUAAAAAAAUUACAAUCGAACAUGUCGAGAGAUCGUGAUCCUCCGAGCAUCAUCGUCCAAAAUAGAAACCAUACAAUGAGGACAAGAAUCUAAUAAAAAGAACCCCAAUGGGUGCUUAUUACGCAUUGAUUAGUAUCAUUUAGAAUAAUUCCACAAAAAAAGGAUCAUUUAGAAUAAUAUAUUUGAGUUAGAAAAAAGUAUAAUUACAAUUUGAAAAAGGGUUGUAAGAAGUAAGAACUAAGGAGUUCAAUUGAUGUAAGAAGGAAAAAAAAAAAAGACUUUCACAGUUAACAGUUUGCAGCUGUGUACUUUCAUUAAACCUUAAAUAUCUACUUAGUACUCGUAAAUUGAUUUAAGGAUUAAAAGCAUGAAUAAAGGUGGAAACGAUAGAUUAGUCGU